AACGACUCUCGGCAACGGAUAUCCCGGCUCUCGCAUCGAUGAAGAACGUAGCGAAAUGCGAUACUUGGUGUGAAUUGCAGAAUCCCGUGAACCAUCGAGUCUUUGAACGCAAGUUGCGCCCGAAGCCACUAGGCUGAGGGCACGCCUGCCUGGGUGUCACGCAUCUUGUUGCCCCCUGAUCACUCACUUCUGGAGGAGCUGUGUCGAUUUUGGGGCGGAGAUUGGCCUCCCGUGCCUUGCCGUGCGGUUGGC
rnacentral:rRNA from 1 species